UAAAUACUCUAAUCCUUUACCCUUACCUAAAACUCUGUAGGGAACCCCCACACUAAAAGUAGCACACCCACCCCCACUACUAUCACUCUUAUCAUUUUGCUCACACACAUAGCUGUCUGUCCAAUCCUGAACAAUAGAAGUUCAGCCCUAACCCCGAUUAGAUUUGAGGGAGAAAGGGACCGACCGCCGAGGCCCAGAGGGGACACCACUGGAAUCAGAAAAGAACCUGGGUGGCAACAGAACUCUCGGGUAAGAGACAGUUCAUAAUCUUCUAAAAUGUGGAUUUUCAGAAAUAAGAAUUGGGCAGGGGAAGUCGGAUCUGUUAGAGACGUCUGAGAGAUUAUAGGCGCACCGAAGGAAUAGACACAGAGAAGGAAACCAGCAAAUAUGGGAAAGUCUCAGCGCAAGCUUGUUGAAUAUGAUACACCGGUAUAUUGGCAAAUGAAAAAGGUAUAUGGCCAAAAAUGUAUGUAAGAUAUGGGGAAAUUAAAUAAAUACCAUGGUUUUCCAAAAGAGGGAACGUUGAGUGUUAAGAAAUUAAAAGCUGUGAAGGAAUCAGUAGAAGAGGGAAGCGAGAGACAAAAAGGGUGUUGUCCGAGACGUGUGAGAAAUGUGAACGAACUGUGAAUUGUUGGAUAGCAGAAGCAGAUAGGAGAGAAAGAAGAGUGAUGCAGAAAGAAUUAGCAAGUAGAAAGGAGGAAAAUAAAGUUGAAGAAUGCGAAGAAAAUUUAAAUGCCUCACAUAGACCUACUAACCGCUCUGAUGUUUGUGUUUCUAAACAUGUAACUCCGCCCUGUGCACACUUUCCUGUGGUCGAGCUGAAAGCCGUGAAACUGGACCCUGACCUUGACUGCUCUCCGCCAAGAAGACCAACAGCACAGUGGCUAGAUCCAGAAUGGAGAAAAGAAACAGUGGAAGACCCAGGAAUCAUUCCUGAAACCCCCAAACAAAGAAAUCGAAGAGGAAAUAGUGCGCAGAGCACCCCCGACAAAGAAAAUAAAAACAAGACAAACAGCGAAAGAAGAAAAAAGUUUCUGGUCCCGACGGGCCUAUUAUGGACUUUAGACCAUGGACUAUAGCUGUGUCCCAAAGUUGAGUGUAUGCACUUCGAAGGCCACGGACCUCGAAGACCGGUCUCCAAAGUGCGCGAAUGGCACUCCGAAGUGCGUGAGAUGCUCUGCCUUCGCAGGAUUUCCUAAUUCCGCCACCAGGUGUUUCCGAUUAGCGCUCUGUCGCAUAGCAACGGUGCGAGAGAGCUGACGAGAGGACAAUCCUGUCAGGAUAGGUGGAGCCAGAACUGCUAAUUUUUGCUUUUAUGUUUUACGUCAAAGUGGAGAAGGUGAUGUACCUCAGGCUUAGCCAAGACCGAGGCCAGAUAAAUUACACUGGUUUACUGCGUCCUUUGUUUGAUUACAACUUUAAAUGCAGACCAGACCCCUGUACUGAAGGAUAGAGCUGAAUGUACCAGCACUGGACAGGUUUUAAAGGUUUUGUGCUGAGCAGUGAGGCCCUGACAGAGCUGCUGGAUCUUCUGGGAAGUGAACGCCAACAGUGAUGGGUGCCACAAUCCAGACCCUGGUGUUUCUGAUCUGUUUGCCAGUGGUACAUCAUAAAGAUGCUCUCCAGAGAGUUUGACAUGUGCCUCGUUCCACUGUCACCCCAUUAUCCUCCGAGUAGCUGAGGACCAUUCACCAAGAGACUGACCGCCUGAAGACCCCAGAACACAUGGAGGCAGUGCUGGGCUCAACUGAUGUUGUUUUUCUGAUGUUAAACCUAAGCUAUGCAGUAAAUUGUUGUAAA